GUGCUUUUACGGUUCCGGGUGCUGGUUCCCACACCACUACCUCGUGUGGGGUUGUUCGCCCGUGAAGGGGCAGGACAGGGUGCUCGCUGAUGGAGGUUAGUGAGGUCACACACCGGGCCGUGGCGCCUGGUGCGCUGGGCGCUUCCACCUCAACCUUCGUAGCAAACCCAGCGGGGUUCUGUGCCUGCGCACCGUGGUUCCUGCGUUCAUUUACUGUCCCGUUUCUCACUCCGGAAAGUGUGGCUUUGAGUUUGAUCUGCAGGAGUAGGACGGGCACAGCGGGUGUCUGGUCCUCCUCGCACCAUAAAUCGCAGAGCGAGCCCUCUGUGGUCUCUGGAUACAGUAUACCAAAGUUAGAUUAACUGUACUCCUUCUCACAAGCCGGUCCAACGUUCGCAGCAGUGAAAAAGCCCUAAGUGUCAGGGCCUUUGGCGAAGCGUGUGUAAGGGAAUAAACACUUUUCCCAGUUUUCCAGGCGCAAACUGAUGGUUUUGGAGCAUUAAGGUCUGGUCGGAUGGGGCAGGAUGGCUGCGUUGACACGUCUUAUUUAAUCCACAUCAUAGACAGUCUCGGC
rnacentral:sRNA from 1 species